rnacentral:sRNA from 1 species
GCCAGGCACAGUGGUGCAUGCCUAUAAUCCCAGCAGCUCAGGAGGCUGAGGCAGGAGGAUUGAGAGUUCAAAGCCAGCCUCAGCAAAAGUGGGGUGCUAAGCAACAGUGAGACCCUGUCUCUA